rnacentral:rRNA from 1 species
UUGCUCUCGGGUGACGAGCGGCGGACGGGUGAGUAAUGUCUGGGAAACUGCCUGAUGGAGGGGGAUAACUACUGGAAACGGUAGCUAAUACCGCAUAAUGUCGCAAGACCAAAGUGGGGGACCUUCGGGCCUCAUGCCGUCAGAUGUGCCCAAAUGGGAUUAGCUAGUAGGUGGGGUAACGGCUCACCUAGGCGACGAUCCCUACCUGGUCUGAGAGGAUGACCAGCCACACUGGAACUGAUACACGGUCCAGACUCCUACGGGAGGCAGCAGUGGGGAAUAUUGCACAAUGGGCGCAAGCCUGAUGCAGCCAUGCCGCGUGUGUGAAGAAGGCCUUCGGGUUGUAAAGCACUUUCAGCGGGGAGGAAGGCGAUGAGGUUAAUAACCUUGUCGAUUGACGUUACCCGCAGAAGAAGCACCGGCUAACUCCGUGCCAGCAGCCGCGGUAAUACGGAGGGUGCAAGCGUUAAUCGGAAUUACUGGGCGUAUAGCGCACGCAGGCGGUCUGUCAAGUCGGAUGUGAAAUCCCCGGGCUCAACCUGGGAACUGCAUUCGAAACUGGCAGGCUAGAGUCUUGUUGAGGGGGGGUAGAAUUCCAGGUGUAGCGUUGAAAUGCGUGAGAUCUGGAAGAAUACCGGUGGCGAAGGCGGCCCCCUG